rnacentral:rRNA from 1 species
UAUAAUUUAAAGUAGACCUGCCCCCUGAAAUUUUAAAGGGCCGCAGUAUUUUGACUGUGCAAAGGUAGCAUAAUCAUUAGUUUUUUAAUUGAAAGCUGUUUUGAAAGGAAAAAUGAGAAAAAAUCUUUAUUAAAUUUAAAUUUAAAUUUUAUUUUAAGUUUAAAAGUUAAAUAUAUUAAAAAGACGAGAAGCCCUAGAGUUUUUUUUAAAAUUUUUUUUAGUUAAAGAAAUUAAUAUAAAUUAUAAAUUUUAUUGGGGGGUAAAAAAAUUAAAAUAACUUUUUUUUUUAUAAAUACAUUAAUUUUG